UACGUAGGGGGCAAGCGUUGUCCGGAAUCAUUGGGCGUAAAGAGCGUGUAGGCGGCCCGGUAAGUCCGCUGUGAAAGUCCAGGGCUCAACCCUGGGAUGCCGGUGGAUACUGUCGGGCUAGAGUCCGGAAGAGGCGAGUGGAAUUCCUGGUGUAGCGGUGAAAUGCGCAGAUAUCAGGAGGAACACCGAUGGCGAAGGCAGCUCGCUGGGACGGUACUGACGCUGAGACGCGAAAGCGUGGGGAGCGAACAGG
rnacentral:rRNA from 1 species